rnacentral:rRNA from 1 species
UACGUAGGUGGCGAGCGUUGUCCGGAUUUACUGGGCGUAAAGGGCGCGUAGGCGGCCGUCCAAGUCGGGUGUGAAAUCCCUCGGCUCAACCGAGGAACUGCACUCGAUACUGGUCGGCUAGAGUCCGGGAGGGGAUGGUGGAAUUCCCAGUGUAGCGGUGAAAUGCGUAGAUAUUGGGAAGAACACCGGUGGCGAAGGCGGCCAUCUGGACCGGAACUGACGCUGAGGCGCGAAAGCCAGGGGAGCGAAUGGG